GACUCCAACCACAAGGAGGAGAUGGGCUUCCUGAGGGAUGUUUUCAGUGAAAAAAGCCUCAGUUACUUAAUGAAGAUUCAUGAGAAGCUUCGCUAUUAUGAAAGGCAAAGUCCAACCCCAGUUCUGCACAGCGCUGUGGCCCUCGCUGAGGACGUGAUGGAGGAGUUGCAGGCCGCCUCCGUGCACAGUGAUGAGAGGGAGCUGCUCCAGCUGCUGUCCACUCCGCACCUGAGGGCUGUGCUCAUGGUACAUGACACGGUUGCCCAGAAGAAUUUUGACCCCAUUCUCCCGCCUCUGCCUGACAAUAUCGAUGAGGAUUUUGAUGAGGAAUCGGUGAAGAUCGUCCGCUUGGUGAAGAACAAGGAACCCCUGGGUGCCACCAUCCGGCGGGACGAGCACUCAGGGGCUGUUGUGGUGGCCAGGAUCAUGCGAGGAGGCGCAGCAGACAGGAGCGGCCUGGUCCACGUUGGAGAUGAGCUCCGAGAAGUGAACGGGAUCGCAGUCCUGCACAAGCGGCCCGACGAGAUCAGCCAGAUUCUGGUCCGUGCUACAAGCCUGCUAGGGAUGUGCUGGGUCUUCAGACACCCAGAGCAAGGCACUUCCUGGAGCCAGGACAGAUUCUGGCUUAGCCUUGCUGUUGUCCUGAGGAGGUGGCAGGCAAAGUGGCCUUAUGGUGUGCCCCUACAGUGUGCCCGGGGUAUGGGGUGGCGGCAGGAGGAGGGGAACUUCCCUUCCAUCUGCCUCUCUUAGACCCUCUCCUCAGCACAGCCUUCCUUCCUUCCCCUGGUUCCCUUUCACAAGGCCCCUCCUGGGUCCUGGGUCCUGGGUGUGAAUCCUGGCUCUGCCUCCUUCCAGCUGUGCAACCUUGGACGAGCCAUCAGAUCAUCUGAGUUUCCAUUUCCUUUCCUUUAACGUUGGGAUAGAGUUUCUUUCUCAACCAAUGUGUGGUUAUCAUUGGCAUGCCAACAUCUGGAAAAGGGUAAAGCCCUUCAGAAGUGUAAGGGGAUUUUAAGGUAUAAAAUGCUUGGCUGAAAACCUCCAUGGUCCAUUCUGGGGAGUUGAAGUCAAAACUGAAAUUGUGAAAAGCCCCAAUCAUAGCUUGGUCCCCUUUAUCCUCAGGAUUCCUCCCCUGACCUGACACUCUGCUAACUUCUGAUGGUUUUGGGGGCAGAAACAGGAUGAGAUCUGAAAAGAGGAGGCCCACUGUUUAAAGCCCUCUCUGGGCUGGGCUCAGUAGUUCACACCUGUAAUCCC
rnacentral:sRNA from 1 species